AGAGUUUGAUUCUGGCUCAGGAUGAACGCUGGCGGCGUGCUUAACACAUGCAAGUCGAACGAGAAUCCAGUGAAGGAGUUUUCGGACAACGGAUCUGGAGGAAAGUGGCGGACGGGUGAGUAACGCGUGAGCAAUCUGCCUUGGAGUGGGGAAUAACGGUUGGAAACAGCCGCUAAUACCGCAUGAUGCGUCUGGGAGGCAUCUCUCUGGACGCCAAAGAUUUAUCGCUCUGAGAUGAGCUCGCGUCUGAUUAGCUUGUUGGCGGGGUAAAGGCCCACCAAGGCGACGAUCAGUAGCCGGACUGAGAGGUUGGCCGGCCACAUUGGGACUGAGACACGGCCCAGACUCCUACGGGAGGCAGCAGUGGGGAAUAUUGGGCAAUGGGCGCAAGCCUGACCCAGCAACGCCGCGUGAAGGAAGAAGGCUUUCGGGUUGUAAACUUCUUUUCUGAGGGACGAAGAAAGUGACGGUACCUCAGGAAUAAGCCACGGCUAACUACGUGCCAGCAGCCGCGGUAAUACGUAGGUGGCAAGCGUUAUCCGGAUUUAUUGGGUGUAAAGGGCGUGUANGCGGGAAAGCAAGUCAGAUGUGAAAACUCAGGGCUCAACCCUGAGCCUGCAUUUGAAACUGUUUUUCUUGAAUGCUGG
rnacentral:rRNA from 1 species